AACGAACGCUGGCGGCGUGCCUAACACAUGCAAGUCGAACGGGAAAACCCGCAAGGGUGAGUACAGUGGCGCACGGGUGCGUAACACGUGGGUAAUCUGCCCAGAAGCCCGGAAUAACUCCCCGAAAGGGGUGCUAAUGCCGGAUGAGACCACGGGGACUUCGGUUCCUGGGGGAAAAGGUGGCCUCUGUAUACAAGCUAUCACUUCUGGAUGAGCCCGCGGCCGAUCAGUUAGUUGGCGGGGUAAUGGCCCACCAAGGCUACGACGAGUAGCUGGUCUGAGAGGACGAUCAGCCACACUGGAACUGAGACACGGUCCAGACUCCUACGGGAGGAAGCAGUGGGGAAUCUUGCGCAAUGGGCGAAAGCCUGACGCAGCGACGCCGCGUGUGUGAUGAAGGUCUUCGGAUCGUAAAGCACUGUCGGGAGGGACGAAUAAGGGCCGGGUGAACAAUCCGGUUCGACGACGGUACCUCCAGAGGAAGCACCGGCUAACUCUGUGCCAGCAGCCGCCGUAAGAC
rnacentral:rRNA from 1 species